rnacentral:rRNA from 1 species
UCGGGAAUUUUGGGCAAUGGGCGCAAGCCUGACCCAGCAACGCCGCGUGAGGGAUGAAGGCCUUCGGGUCGUAAACCUCUGUCGGGAGGGAAGAACGGUUUCCGUUCGAACAGGGCGGGAAUCUGACGGUACCUCCAAAGGAAGCACCGGCUAACUCCGUGCCAGCAGCCGCGGUAAUACGGAGGGUGCGAGCGUUGUUCGGAAUCAUUGGGCGUAAAGCGCGUGUAGGCGGCUUGGCAAGUCGGGUGUGAAAGCCCGGGGCUCAACCCCGGAACUGCACUCGAAACUGCCUCGCUAGAGUCCCGGAGAGGAAGGCGGAAUUCCCGGUGUAGAGGUGAAAUUCGUAGAUAUCGGGAGGAACACCAGCGGCGAAGGCGGCCUUCUGGACGGUGACUGACGCUGAGACGCGAAAGCGUGGGGAGCAAACAGGAUUAGAUACCCCUGUAGUCC